rnacentral:snRNA from 1 species
GUGCUUGCUUUGUCAGGACACAUGCUAAAAUUGUAAUGAUACAGAGAAGAUUAGCAUGGCCCCUGUGCAAGGAUGACACAGAAAUUUGUGAAUCGUUCUAUAUUUUU